rnacentral:lncRNA from 1 species
CUUAGCUUGCAUCUCCCCAUCAGAAGUGAUACUUAGCAACACUAGGAACACUUCUUUCACUGCUACAGAUCUCUGAGCAGUUUAAUAUGCAAGUGGCCAAACUCACUCAUCAUAAAACCCAAUUGACUUCAUUCAAAAAGCUCCUAUAAAGAUGACUGAUGUCACUGGAGUCCUACUAGGGGUGAUUUUGGCCCAUGCCAUUCCUCCUGUUUAGUCACUGGAUAGGAAUGUAGGGAAGAAAUGCGUGCUGGACUGUAGGACUGCAUCGCUCAACAAAUCUGCUAGUACUGAAAAGGAGUUACACAUGAAUAUAAACUUGUCUUGCAUGCUCUAUUGCAUCUCCCAGAUCAGCCACUACUUUCAGCUGCUCAGGGUUAGUAGGAGUUAUCUCUUCUGGCUGUCAUGAAUCACUGCACUGAUAUUGCCUACCAAAUCACAAAACACUGGAAGAAAUGGGCAAGCUAUUCACCAGUGCAGCUGAGAAUGUGACCAAAGUGAUAGCCUUUGUUUGCACGCAGUACAAAGUGGCCUUCUGGGAAGAGGAAAUGGACACACAUCUACAUUUAGUAUAAAUGAUACUAAGAG